CGGGGUUGCGGACAGUGUCUGGUGGGUAGUUUGACUGGGGCGGUCUCCUCCCAAAGAGUAACGGAGGAGCACGAAGGUUAGCUAAUCCUGGUCGGACAUCAGGAGGUUAGUGCAAUGGCAUAAGCUAGCUUGACUGCGAGCGUGACGGCGCGAGCAGGUGCGAAAGCAGGUCAUAGUGAUCCGGUGGUUCUGAAUGGAAGGGCCAUCGCUCAACGGAUAAAAGGUACUCCGGGGAUAACAGGCUGAUACCGCCCAAGAGUUCAUAUCGACGGCGGUGUUUGGCACCUCGAUGUCGGCUCAUCACAUCCUGGGGCUGAAGUAGGUCCCAAGGGUAUGGCUGUUCGCCAUUUAAAGUGGUACGCGAGCUGGGUUUAGAACGUCGUGAGACAGUUCGGUCCCUAUCUGCCGUGGGCGCUGGAGAAUUGAGGGGGGCUGCUCCUAGUACGAGAGGACCGGAGUGGACGCAUCACUGGUGUUCGGGUUGUCAUGCCAAUGGCAUUGCCCGGUAGCUAAAUGCGGAAGAGAUAAGUGCUGAAAGCAUCUAAGCACGAAACUUGCCCCGAGAUGAGUUCUCCCUGAGACUUUAAGUCUCCUGAAGGAACGUUAAAGACGAUGACGUUGAUAGGUCGGGUGUGUAAGCGUAGCGAUACGUUGAGCUAACCGAUACUAAUGAACCGUGAGGCUUAACCUU
rnacentral:rRNA from 1 species